rnacentral:rRNA from 1 species
AGCGCAGGCGGACGGGUCAGUCUGAAGUGGAAAUCCGGGGCUCAACCUCGGACUUGCUUCGGAUACUGCCUGUCUUGAGUUCGUGAGAGGAAGAUGGAAUUCAGGGUGUAGCGGUGAAAUGCUCAGAUAUCCUGAGGAACACCAGUGGCGAAAGCGGUCUUCUGGCACGAAACUGACGCUGAGGCUCGAAAGCGUGGGGAGCGAACGG